AUUGAACGCUGGCGGUAUGCUUAACACAUGCAAGUCGAACGGUAACAGGCCUUCGGGCGCUGACGAGUGGCGGACGGGUGAGUAACGCGUAGGAAUCUGCCUCAUAGAGGGGGACAACGUGGGGAAACUCACGCUAAUACCGCAUACGCCCUACGGGGGAAAGCGGGGGAUCUUCGGACCUCGCGCUAUGAGAUGAGCCUGCGUUAGAUUAGCUAGUUGGUAGGGUAAAGGCCUACCAAGGCGACGAUCUAUAGCUGGUCUGAGAGGACGAUCAGCCACACUGGGACUGAGACACGGCCCAGACUCCUACGGGAGGCAGCAGUGGGGAAUAUUGGACAAUGGGCGCAAGCCUGAUCCAGCAAUACCGCGUGUGUGAAGAAGGCCCUAGGGUUGUAAAGCACUUUCAAUUGGGAGGAAAACCUGCCGGUCAAUACCCGGCAGCUUGACGUUACCUAUAGAAGAAGCACCGGCUAACUCCGUGCCAGCCGCCGCGGUAAAAC
rnacentral:rRNA from 1 species